rnacentral:sRNA from 1 species
AAGCCACCACCAAGCAGCAGAGCACCCACUCUCCUCUCCAGACGGACAUUCCCCCACGCCCCAUACAUAUAAACGAAAUUUUGCUUCGUUUUUGUUCUCCAAAAUACAUUCAUACUUUUACGAGUACGAGUAUUCACGGAUUUACGGAUUUGUUACACUUUUAGCCUUGAACUAAGUUGGGAGGCGGCUCUAUUGCUCAGAGAUAUGGAUUAUUGCCAGGCAUUGAAGGUGCAAGAGAGAGAGUCUAGGAUUGAUCUUACCCUCAAGGAUCUGUUAGUUUUGUAUUAACUGUGACCAAAAGGCAUAUCAACGGAAUUCCAAGGGUGUCUACUCCAGACUUUUAUGAUAUUUAUCCUGUCGAUACGAUACGAAUAGAGCACAACAAUAUCUCAUCUAUACAUUCAUUUAUUCCGCUUUUUGAAGGCCACACAGUAACCUAGAACCCUCGUAGAACUGCGAAAUUCAUUGAUCUUUCCCAAUAAUUUCCAUUCAAACAAAACUGUAUUUGGCAAAUGUGUAUAGUAUUUUUCAUUCGUUUAUUUUUGUUUAUCUAAAAAUAUUCGCGAAAUCAAAUAACAAGAAAUAGGACACAAUACGGUAAACAAUUCGUUCAUCAUUGUUUAAAUACUUAAAAUAUACAAAUUUUAAAAAUGUUAUAGACGGCUGUUGAUCAGUUUUACUUUUCCUUGUGUUAAAAUUAAAUUUUCUUUAAAAUAGUAAAUAAUAGAUGUGUGUUUUAAAAUCGGGCAACUGCUCGGGAAACCCCAUCAAUGGACAUUCCGAAUGGCAGGACAUUAUCUGUUGAGUGCUGGAUUUUUUAAACUAUCUUUAAACGAUAUUCCAUGGACCGUCUUAUAACUUAUAAAUCCUUCAGUUCUAUUCGGUUAAAGUCUAUUUUGCUAUCCCACCCAAACGACUCCAGAUAAAAGGCCACGAGCAGUUGCGAAUAUAUAUGGACACCGACACCACUGGUUGACUGCUAUGCUAAUUCUGUUUUGCAGUUUCGAAAACAAUAAAAAAAAAAACUUAAACAAUUUAGUUUUAGUUAGUUUAAAAGCAAAUACCACAUAUGCUCCGUAAAUAUACUAUGCAAAUCUCUGCAUACACAUACAAUAUAUGUAGUAUGUAGUACAACUAGUGUUUCCAUUCAUAUAUAAAACUAGAUCGUAUCAUAACUAGUUAUGUAAGCUACCUUCCAUUGCGUGUUCUGUUCGCACAUACCAUACAUACAUGCUCGUACAUAAGUGUAUCAAAAAACCUACAGACAUGAGUUCAUGAGUAACUACAAAAUCCUACGACAAAAUGAACUAAUUCCUUGAAUUUUCUUGUUAGCAUAUAACCGGUCGAAGAGAGAACUGAUCUUAGCACAAAUUACAAAUUAAUUCAAUUCCUUGUGGUCCGUUGUCCCGAUGGGGGAUCAGCAAUUCUUAUAAUACAAAUAUUUGUGUAGCACUUGGUCGCGAACCGCUGACAAUAGCUGGGCCGGGCCACUUCUGAG